rnacentral:tRNA from 1 species
GCGCCCUUAGCUCAGCAGGAUAGAGCAACAGCCUUCUAAGCUGUGGGUCAGAGGUUCGACUCCUCUAGGGCGCA